AUUGAACGCUGGCGGCAGGCCUAACACAUGCAAGUCGAACGGAGUGGCGGACGGGUGAGUAUUGUCUGGGAAACUGCCUGGUCGUGGGGGAUAACGUCCGGAAACGGGCGCUAAUACCGCAUACUAUCAGAUGAGCCUAGGUCGGAUUAGCUAGUUGGUGUGGUAACGGCCUACCAAGGCGACGAUCCGUAACUGGUCUGAGAGGAGGAUCAGUGACAAUGGAACUGAGACACGGUCCAGAAUCCUACGGGAGGCAGCAGUGGGGAAUAUGGAACAAGGGGGGAAAGCCUGAUGCAGCCAGGCCGCGUGGGUGAAGAAGGUCUUCGGAUUGUAAAGCACUUUAAGUUGGGAGGCGGUACCAACAGAAGAAGCACCGGCUAACUUCGUGCCAGCAGCCGCGGUAAGAC
rnacentral:rRNA from 1 species